rnacentral:rRNA from 1 species
GGGUCAGUAGGUUGGUCGUGCCACCGGUACGUACUGGUCUCACUGAUUCCUCCUUCCUGAAGAACCGUAAUGCCAUUAAUUUGGUGUUGCGGGGAAACAGGACUGUUACUUUGAAAAAAUUAGAGUGUUUAAAGCAAGCUAACGCUUGAAUACGUUAGCAUGGAAUAAUGAAAUAGGACGAUCGAUCCUAUUUUGUUGGUUUCUAGGAUUGACGUA